rnacentral:rRNA from 1 species
GGCGAGUGGCGAACGGGUGAGUAAUACAUCGGAACGUGCCCUGUAGUGGGGGAUAACUAGUCGAAAGAUUAGCUAAUACCGCAUACGACCUGAGGGUGAAAGUGGGGGACCGCAAGGCCUCAUGCUAUAGGAGCGGCCGAUGUCUGAUUAGCUAGUUGGUGAGGUAAAGGCUCACCAAGGCGACGAUCAGUAGCUGGUCUGAGAGGACGAUCAGCCACACUGGGACUGAGACACGGCCCAGACUCCUACGGGAGGCAGCAGUGGGGAAUUUUGGACAAUGGGCGAAAGCCUGAUCCAGCAAUGCCGCGUGUGUGAAGAAGGCCUUCGGGUUGUAAAGCACUUUUGUCCGGAAAGAAAUGGCUCUGGUUAAUACCUGGGGUCGAUGACGGUACCGGAAGAAUAAGGACCGGCUAACUACGUGCCAGCAGCCGCGGUAAUACGUAGGGUCCAAGCGUUAAUCGGAAUUACUGGGCGUAAAGCGUGCGCAGGCGGUUGUGCAAGACCGAUGUGAAAUCCCCGAGCUUAACUUGGGAAUUGCAUUGGUGACUGCACGGCUAGAGUGUGUCAGAGGGGGGUAGAAUUCCACGUGUAGCAGUGAAACGCGUAGAGAUGUGGAGGAAUACCGAUGGCGAAGGCAGCCCCCUGGGAUAACACUGACGCUCAUGCACGAAAGCGUG